CAUGCCUAAAUUACCCGGCUUAUCCCGUAGCCAUGACAGGAGCAGGCAGUACCCAUGUUGGGGAGGUUUAAAAAGGAAAUGCUAACAAAAAUGUCUACCAAUUAGGGAAUGGCUAUGUAAAGGAGGGCACAGUCAUACUAUGGAAUACUCUGCAGUAGUUAAAAAUAAUGGAAUAGACCUGGGUUUCCUGCUAUAAAUUUUCCUCUGAGCAUGGUUUUGCUGCAUCUCGUUAAUUUGGGACCUACCAUUUGCAUGGCUCCAAAAGGAAGUCAGAAAGCCACCUGUGGAAUCGAGGAAUGUUUGGAAAUUCUAUCCUGCCCAUCCCCCAGCUGACCCAGCACUUGCUUGCUAAGGAUCGAAUCGAAUCAGGAUGCGAAUCACGGUGUUCUUGGCCAUCUCCCCUCCUUCCACUGCAGCCCCUCCCCUCCCUUCAGGUCCCCAGUGCUGUUGGGGUGAGCCCCCCAAUUUAGUGUUCCCCAUUGUGGUUCUAGGCGUUCUGCUAACCCCACUUCUCCAUCACAAGUUAAUUAUUACCUGUUUGACUUUUAC